GUUAAGUGACUUGCCCAGGGUCACACAGCUACUUACAGCACCCAACAAUCUUCUGGAGGUUUGGAGUCAACUAUCACAUGAACUGAAAAGACCCUUGGAACACCAACAUUUGGCCUUCCUGACUAUGAAACCAGAUGACAGCAUGAAACAUCUCAGCCCUAAGAUGUGAUGUGCUGCUGACAUGGACACUGAGAAUGGGUUACUAGGAAAGAGACUGAAUGUUCACUCUUCCCUCUCGUUCCUUUCCCAUGUGUCUGCUGCCUCUGUCCACAAGGCCCACUUGUGGAAAAGGACUGACCCCAAUGGAUGGUGUCAAUUUGUCAAUCUUUCUCUCUCUAUCUCCCCUCUCAUGCUAUUCCCAUCAUGGUAAAACACCUACAUCUCAUAAUUAACAAUUCUUAAUGAAGUGUUUAGUGCCUUCAGGUCUUUUUGUAUCCUGGUGUGUCAGAAGAAAGGAUAAAUUUGAUGUCAUUUGAUAAUUGGCUAUUAGCUAGUGAUUCACUGAGGAAAGUGUUUCUCAGUGAAUCAAAAGGGGGAAUUGAAAAGGUCAAAACUAAUAUUACUGAUUUCUACUAUAUUGAUUUUGUGCUAUAUUGAUUUUUAUAAUUGAGUUAGUAUUUGCCUGGCUCAUCUUGCUCAGGAAUGCAGUUUUCCCUCCAAGUUAGUUUAAAAGUAUGGAUGAAAGAGAAUGUUGUUAUCACUCAUGCCAUUAGCCCCAGAGGAACAUCUGCUUAUUGUCUGUAACCCCCAACCAGAUUAAAAUGGUGCCAUCCUCCAAAAGACAUGUUGUUUGUCCUUACAUGUCCUUGUACAAUUAGCGAUGGGGUUUGAUCUCCCCCAAGGUGACAGCAUACCUGGUGGUACUGAUCUCUUAGUCAAGAUUACAAGAAAUAGAUGAGUCCUUAAUUGUCAGAGAGGCAUGUGAUUAGCCAUACCUGAAUGCCAAUCUACUUUUCCUAGUAUAACCAAUUAUUUCCCAGACCCACCCUCCAUUCCUGUGUGUCAAUAAAGAGGGUCCCCCCCCUUCUCAUUGGGUUUCUGGCCUUACUGAGAUGGCCAACCUGACCUGCUUUGUACAUCAUUGUUAAUAAACUGUUUAUGCUCAGA